rnacentral:rRNA from 1 species
UACGGAGGGGGCGAGCGUUGUUCGGAAUUACUGGGCGUAAAGGGCGCGUAGGCGGUGACGUUAGUCGGGCGUGAAAGCCCCGGGCUCAACCUGGGAUGUGCGUUCGAUACUGCGUUGCUAGAGAGCGGAAGAGGGUAGUGGAAUUCCCAGUGUAGAGGUGAAAUUCGUAGAUAUUGGGAAGAACACCAGUGGCGAAGGCGGCUACCUGGUCCGUUUCUGACGCUGAGGCGCGAAAGCGUGGGGAGCAAACAGG